GACGAACGCUGGCGGCGUGCUUAACACAUGCAAGUCGAACGGAGUGGCGAACGGGUGAGUAACACGUGGGUGAAAUGCCCUGCACUACGGGAUAAGCCUGGGAAAAUGGGUCUAAUAACAGAGAGUGUGGGAUGGGCCCGCGGCCGAUCAGCUUGUUGGUGGGGUAAUGGCCUACCAAGGCGGCGACAGGUAGCCGGCCGGAGGGGGUGGACGGCCACAUUGGGACUGAGACACGGACCAGACUCCUACGGGAGGCAGCAGUGGGGAUUAUUGCACAAUGGGCGGAAGCCUGAUGCAGCGACGCCGCGUGGGGGAUGUCGGCCUUCGGGUUGUAAACUCCUUUCACCAUCGACGCGGUAGAUGGAGAAGAAGCACCGGCUAACUACGUGCAAGCAGCCGCGGUAAUAC
rnacentral:rRNA from 1 species